rnacentral:rRNA from 1 species
UGGGGAAUUUUGGACAAUGGGCGAAAGCCUGAUCCAGCAAUGCCGCGUGUGUGAAGAAGGCCUUCGGGUUGUAAAGCACUUUUGUCCGGAAAGAAAUCCUUGGCUCUAAUACAGUCGGGGGAUGACGGUACCGGAAGAAUAAGCACCGGCUAACUACGUGCCAGCAGCCGCGGUAAUACGUAGGGUGCAAGCGUUAAUCGGAAUUACUGGGCGUAAAGCGUGCGCAGGCGGUUUGCCAAGACCGAUGUGAAAUCCCCGGGCUCAACCUGGGAACUGCAUUGGUGACUGGCAGGCUAGAGUAUGGCAGAGGGGGGUAGAAUUCCACGUGUAGCAGUGAAAUGCGUAGAGAUGUGGAGGAAUACCGAUGGCGAAGGCAGCCCCCUGGGCCAAUACUGACGCUCAUGCACGAAAGCGUGGGGAGCAAACAGGAUUAGAUACCCUGGUAGUCCACGCCCUAAACGAUGUCAACUAGUUGUUGGGGAUUCAUUUCCUUAGUAACGUAGCUAACGCGUGAAGUUGACCGCCU